AAAAGUUGGUCGGUGGAGACAAGGGGGCCGAUGUCAGUGAGGAUGAAAAGGCAGAGAAUGCGGAUGAAAAUAACAAAGAAGCACCGAAGGAAAAUAAUGAGGAGGAAACAAAUAAAGAAGAGGAAGUGAAGGAAACAAGCAAAGAAGAGGAAGUGACUGAAGUUGAUGAGCUUUACGUGAAAGACAAAAAAACAGAGAGUAAGGACAAGAAUGAAAAUGAAAUAAAUGACGGGAAGGAUGAGGAUGAAGAUAAAGAGGAAGAGACGAAGGACGAGAAGGAAGAUGAAAAAGAAGAGAGCAUGGAUGAUAAGGAAGAUGAAAAAGAAGAGAGUAAUGAUGAUA
rnacentral:lncRNA from 1 species